GCUUACGGCCAUACCACCCUGAGCACACCCGAUCUCGUCUGAUCUCGGAAGCUAAGCAGUGUUGGGCCAGGUUAGUACUUGGAUGGGAGACCGCCUGGGAAUACCAGGCGCUGUAAGCU
rnacentral:rRNA from 1 species